GUAAAUCCAAACAGCAGCGCUCCUGAGUUUGUGUCCCACGUCACCUUCAGUCCGCUCAGAGCAGAGGAAUCAUUUCCAUAGAGAGGAGGCUUUGCAUCGUCAGCUGAUCCUCCACUGAACUGAGAAGCUUUAUAGUCCUGUGACUCCAACUCUGCAGGACUCAGACCCGUCAGUCCACCACAACCACCAUGACUCUCAUCACCCUCCUCAUCUGGACGCUGGCCUGCUGCAGCUUCACAGGAUGCAGCGGCCAGGUGACUGUGACUCAGCCUCCAGUCGUGACAUUUACUCCAGGAUCCACUGUCACACUGACCUGUAACACCAACCCCAGUGUUGGUAGCACUAGUUAUAUGUCCUGGUACCAGCAGAAACCUGGACAGGCUCCCAAGCUUCUUAUAUACUCAACAUCAACUCUAGAAACAGGAAUUCCCUCUCGAUUCAGUGGCAGUGGCUCUGGUUCUAGCUUCACCUUAACCAUCAGUGGAGUUCAGAGUGAAGAUGCAGCAGUUUACUACUGUAAGAGCUAUCAUUAUUUAAGCAGAGCACCUGUGUUGACACAGUGAUUUACAGUCGUACAAAAACCUCCCUCAGUCAGACGCAGAGACAUGAGCUGUUACAGCAGGAAGAGAGUGGGACACAGACCAGUGAACACAGAGACUGACAGUAACCUCACCAAGCACAACAGACACAAUCACACACUUUCAGACCUAAGAUGAAGCUCUUCUAAAGUUUAUU